rfam:Ictidomys tridecemlineatus contig001708, whole genome shotgun sequence.
GGGGUUGUGGCUCAGUGGUAGAGCGCUUGCCUCGCACGCUUGAGGCACAGGGUUCGAUCCUCAGCACGCCA